rnacentral:rRNA from 1 species
AGUGUAGAUUCAGAGUUUGAUCCUGGCUCAGAUUGAACGCUGGCGGCGUGCUUUACACAUGCAAGUCGAGCGGCAGCAUGACCUUCGGGUCGAUGGCGAGCGGCGAACGGGUGAGUAAUACAUCGGAACGUACCUUUUAGUGGGGGAUAACGCAUCGAAAGAUGUGCUAAUACCGCAUAAUCUCUGAGGAGGAAAGGCGGGGAUCACGUAAGUGACCUGUCGCUGAAAGAGCGGCCGAUGGUCGAUUAGCUAGUUGGCGGGGUAAAAGCCCACCAAGGCGAUGAUCGAUAGCGGGUCUGAGAGGACGAUCCGUCACACUGGGACUGAGACACGGCCCAG